rnacentral:rRNA from 1 species
UACGUAGGUGGCAAGCGUUGUCCGGAAUUAUUGGGCGUAAAGCACGCGCAGGCGGUCCUUUAAGUCUGAUGUGAAAGCCCACGGCUCAACCGUGGAGGGUCAUUGGAAACUGGGGGACUUGAGUACAGAAGAGGAAAGCGGAAUUCCACGUGUAGCGGUGAAAUGCGUAGAGAUGUGGAGGAACACCAGUGGCGAAGGCGGCACUCUGGGACGUGACUGGACGCUGAGACGCGAAAGCGUGGGGAGCAAACAGG